rnacentral:rRNA from 1 species
GACGAACGCUUGCGGCGUGCCUAAGAAAUGCAAGUCGAGCGAGAACCAACCUUCGGGUGAAGUUCUAGCGGCGAACGGUCGCGUAACACGUAAGCAACCUGCCCUAAAGUGGGGGAUAGCCCUCCGAAAGGAGGAUUAAUACCGCAUGUGGAUGCUUUCUCGCAUGUGAGAGCAUCUAAAGCAGCGAUGCGCUUUAGGAUGGGCUUGCGGCCUAUCAGCUAGUUGGUGUGGGUAACGGCCCACCAAGGCGACGACGGGUAGCUGGUCUGAGAGGAUGGUCAGCCGGACUGGGACUGAGAUACGGCCCAGACUCCUACGGGGGCAGCAAUUAGGAAUCUUGCGCAAUGGGCGAAAGCCUGACGCAGCGACGCCGCGUGACCGAUGAAGUCUUUCGGGAUGUAAAGGUCUUUUGCAGGGGACGAAGGAGUGACGGUACCCUGCGAAUAAGCCCCGGCUAACUACGUGCCAGCAGCCGACGGUAAAGUCACGUCG